rnacentral:tRNA from 1 species
GCGGGCGUAGCUCAAUGGUAGAGCCUCUGCCUUCCAAGCAGAUGGUGCGGGUUCGAUUCCCGUCGCCCGCU